rnacentral:lncRNA from 1 species
AAUCAAAACCUCUUCCCUUCCUAUUUAUCGAUCAUACUCUUAGUCUUUGUAAAAUAACUUAUGAAAAAAGUCCAAAUUCUGAUCUCAUUCCUCACAUUUACAGUUUGUGACUAUGGACGGAAGUUUCAUAGUUGUAGAGCAUGAGAGGUCCUGGAUACAAGUCUUACCAUACACAGUUUUGAAAUUCCAUGUGCCAGGCGGCGUUUAAAAUAUGAAUUUGGUUUGUACAUGAGGAGAUAUGUUGAAGAUUUAAAUAUAAAUUAGUAAAUUAAUAAAUUAAUCCUCUCUCAAAGAACUUUUAUGUUUUUAGAUGGGUGGUUCAAAAUACUAAGGGACAUAGGUAAAAUGAAGGAGUACUUAGAUUAAAUCAUUUAAAUAUUAGUUAAAUAACUUGUGCAUAGUUUCUAAUGAUGUGAACUAUAAAUCUUUUUGAAGAACUUAGGAGGUUUACUUUCAUAAAUGGUAAAUGACACUCCCUAUUUCAUUGUCCUGGAGGCGAGUAAUGAAUCACUAAUAGUUUAUUGGUCAAAUCCUGAAUCUGUAUGAUGCUGUACACACUAAUGUUACUGUUGCUGUACGCCACCAGCCGUAGACCCUUUUUAAUCUGCAAGACCAUCUAUAAAUAUCAAAAGUCACACCUACUGACUAUCAUUUGUCUAGAAAAACUCUACAAUUCAACCAAAUAAGAAGGAACGUGGAAGAGGUACAUAAGUAACAGAAUUGAGGAAAACAUUUUCAAUCAGUAUAAAUGUGUAUUCAUUAAAGAGGCUCUCAGACUAAUAGAUAUCUUUACCUCCUUCAACAGCCCUACUAUUGUCAAACUUCGGACUCCAUUUGGUAUGGUCCCUAUGUCUUCUCUAUAUGUAUUAGGUAAUGAGGGAAUGUUCCAUAAAUUGAUAUAUAGGAAUUUAACCUCCAGUGUCAGUUCCUUGAUGUCAUUUGCCCUUUCGUCCUAAGGUUUUCUUCUUUUGUAAUUCCCAUCCAGUGCACUUGCCUUCACCAAUUGACGCUACCUAAACAACUAUGUCACUCGUGAUUAUUAUCCAAACACGGC